CAGGAUGUCGGUCAUAGUAAGCGCCAUUUUAACUUAAUGGUUGAAAAGAUUUAAGUCUACAUUUCUAUUCCAUGUUUAACUCGUGUAAAUGGAUAAGUUAAUCAUAUCAUUGUCAAAAACAAAAGGAUUUACAUUCACAUACAUUGAAAUGUUUGAAACUCAUAGUAUCUUAGAUUCAGGGGGCUCAUCAAAGUGCAGAUAGCUAAUAUCUAGAUGUCAAGCUGGAUAAUCAAUAGAUCGACAAUGUAAAUACGCGAUUUUUGAAGUUCAGCAGUCUAACCUCUUCAACUAAAAUGAUAUUUUGUCAUGGUUCGUUAUUUUUGUCUGUGAUAGGCCUACAUAUACUCGAUGCAUCAUUUAAUGAUUCCGAUAAUCCGGUAAUUCAAUUACAAGAAUUUCGUCAAAGUGACUGUAUUACAGACUGUAGUCGUGGAUUGCUCUCUAACUAUGAUGCACUAGUACUGCAAGCAAAUAUUCUGAACACAGACUCAAUCGACACAAACAAAUAUAACUAUGUGAUAUCUGUUGAAAUGCGCAAUUCAAGCGAUUUUACGAAAAUUAAGGAAAUCCCUCUUACAAGUUGUUUAAACCUCAAGAGUCAUUAUUUUGAUUGCAAAAAUGAGCAAAACAAUUACAAGAUAACCAUAAAACUGAUGGCAUUGGUUAGUAUGGAUCGAAAUGACUUCAUAGUAGCAUUAUCCUAUGAUAAAUUUCGUCUGGAAAGUAACACUAUUAGAAUGACCUCAAUAUAUGAUAGCUUCCAAGCAUCGCAUUACUUGAACGGAAAGCUGCUACCUUCUAAACAAUGUAAAAUACAAAUUAGUAAACAUAGUCCUUUGAUAUUUUGCUGUGGCAAGGAUGUCAAUGUUUCCACAACGAUAGAAUUGUAUCGCAACGGAGAGAGCGUGGCCAAAGCUGAGCAUUGUGUUUCUUAUGAAGAACUAUCGCCAGAAGAACUACCAAAGUUUAGCUUUAAUUGUAACUUUUGUAAUACCACAUUGGAAAAUAUCACGUGCCCGUCUAAUAUGGGUAAGUAAUUGAUAAGCAAAUAUGUACAUACAGGCGUAUUAUACAUUAUUGGACAAAAGAGCGGACACCUUUGUGGGCAUACCGGCUAAUGUCGGUGACCGCCACCAUAUCAACCCCUUCGAAUGACAAUAAGGCCCUUGAAAGAUUUCAGAGUAUUCACCUUUAAAAUGGGUCCAUGAAGUGUUGUGAUUGGCCCUCACUUAGGCUCCCUUUACCUAUAUAAAAUAUAUUAUACAGACUUUGCAGUAGAAUUCGCAAAUAUUUACUGAAAUGUUUCUGAUCUAUAAAUAAAACUUUUUUUGUGUUCUAAUUAGUUUAAAAGUUUAACAUUUUCUACUUGAUCUAAUUUUAGAUGUCUGCACUUUCCCCACUAUUCUAUGAAUACUAUUUACUAGACAGUAUUCGGCGUCUUUCUAUAUUAAAUAGUAGUUUAAAAUGGCAUCACCAUUAGAUAAAAAAAUCAACAUUUAGUUUAGGAAAGGCGCUAAAUAGGAUGUAAGAUGUAAGAGCAUCACUGUGAUAAGUACAUAGAUUUAAACGAAGACACCACCAAUAUGCCAUUGUAGCAUCCACGACAACAUUAAUUCGCCCCUCUCGUUAUAGUCAGUCAGUCCCUGUACCAUACUGGAUGCAAUGCAGUCUCAAACUAAAAUCUUGCUCCAUAUUAGACAAAACAAAAAACAUUGCUCUUGCAAUGCUAGCUUAAAUGAUUGACCCAUACCUUUACAACAAAACUGAAAACACUGACGGCCAGUAGUGAAAGGAUUUCAAUACACCUCUUACCAGCAAAGACGUAAGAAAGCAAACUUACUUAAUAAAGACGCUACGACGUAAGCACAAGCUCUUUUGGCAACAAACACAUCCGAAUGCUUUCUUCUGUUCUUUGUGCGCAACAAACAAGACAAGAACAUCUCAAGUUACGCAAGAUAUUACGCAAUGAACAUUAUUCUAGUGAACGAAAACCUGUAGACUACACACGUUACACAGAGACAAGUUAGCAUUACAUCCACAGUGAUAAAUAUUGUUAUCAUCACUACUGUGCUUAUUUCAACAGCAACGAUAUUUCUAAUAUCCUGCAUAGCCUUUCCUAAGCUUAAAAGUAUGAUAAGAAAAAAAGGUUCAAAGAGUACCUCGAGUUUCAAAGAUGAAUCAAGCAAAGCUUAUUCUUCAAAAAGAACUCUCAAAAUUGAUAGGGAAAAAAUUCCUUGUAGAUCUGAUUCGUAUACUAAUUUGUUCUCCGAAUUAAAAAUUCGAGGUAUUCCACACAAAAAAACAAAACAAAUCCUGAAUACCACUUGUGAUAUUGAUGCAACUUUAUUUGAAAACCUUGAACUUAGAUGUUUAAAUCCACGUAAAGAAACAGAUGAAGACAAAAUACAAAAAAUCGAUAAUGAUCACAAAACUCAGGUAGAAGUUAGCGCAAUUAUUGAAAAAACUGAAGGUAUUUCUGCUGAUUCAUUAUGUGAACCAACAAAACAAAGAGUCAAUCACACAGAAAAAGGCAACAUCAUCACAAUCUACGAUGGUUUAAAACCCAAAACCACUAAAGAGCCGCACAGUGCUGUAGAAGGAAUAAUGCUUUGUAGUGGAAACUCAUUAGCUCUGGAAUAUUGUCAGUCUUUGGAUAGUAUGUUUAAUAUUUAAAUCUGUUAUGGAGCCAUGGGCUCAUAUAGACCAGAGCGCUGAUUAACUUGAAACAAUUCCCAAUUCAUUCUCAGACUAGGACAACUUCUUUCUGUUUAUGUUGGUGAUAAAUUGAAUUUACUUUUUUUUUAAAUUUUGUUUCACAGUUAUUUUCCAUUUGUUGUAUUUGGGAGUCCCCUAUCCCCAAACGUUUUAUAUUCUCUGAUAUUUAUUUGUUGAAAUUGUCUGCUUUUUCAAAUGUUUUUGUAAUAUUACUGUAAAUAAAAAAUGAGAAUGAGUAAGAAGGGUGGAGCUAGCGACUCCACCCUGUAAAACUUGAAUAGCUCCAGAAACGGCAAUAUCGAAUAUAGAGAUAAUUAAACACACUGAUUUUUGGCAGUCUAUAGUAUAUAAAUCUUAUAAAAAGAAAGGAAAUACAAUAAUUGUGCAUUUAAUUUAGAACUAAUAAAAAUAAAGCUAAAGCUAUGAAUGUAUGAAUUCAAGAUUCGAGAGUUUUGUUACUGUUCGUCAUUAUUUGGUUCAAUCUGGGAGGUAGCUAUUCUUAAGAGUGAAUUGAAGUAUUCAUCGUUUUAUCUAGUACUGACUUUGAUUUCUCAAGACUCUUCGUAAAUAUUGGAAGAUUCAAACAUCACACAAAUUAUCUGAGCAUGAGAGAUUUAAUUUGGAAAACUGAAAUUCGACAAGUCAAUGUUGAGUUCUAAUUUUAGAAUACUAUUCACUAAUUGUUCAGUAUGAUUAUUAUAUUGUCCUGCAAGCCUGGUUUUACUUCUUCGCAAUGCACACUAAAAGGCAUUCUAAAAAUAUCUAAUUCUUUUUCAAUUGUUCAUAAUUCUUCAAAUCGUUGUUUUUUUUCAAAUUCGCCAUGAUGUUAUCAAAUUAUCUUUUUUUAUAUUUAAGCUCUCCUAUUAGCCCUAAAUCAAUGAAUUGUGGCAAACCUUGCGCUCCAAAAUUGGCUUGCUUAGCCACAUCAGAUUCUGCCCUGAGUCAAGGAGACAGAAGGAGUCAAAUACUUAAGCUUGUCAUCCUUCACAACAAUCAGUUAAUUAAUACUAGUGAAAUGAGAAGAACUCAUUUUAGCUAGCUAAUUUGUAAAUAGAAGUUGUUUGAAGCCUAGAAGGUGACCAAGAUGUAGUCAAAUAAUUGAUUUUUUCAUUGCAUUUUGAUAAUAAUUUGUCGAUGUGACAGAGAAGAUCUGUUAAAAUGCACAGUCUGUAAUCAUGCAGAAUAUUUACAUUUUUUCAUAUUCCGCAUAAAGAUUUUCUCAUGUAAUAAAGAUACUAUUUCGUAUUUCAGUUUCAAAAAUCACUAGAAGACGUAUCUUGCUUCAAGCCUCCUUUAAUUUCAUGUAGUAAAGAACAUCAGAGUAUUCAGAUUACAUUAAAUUAAGGAACUAUUGAACUAAGCUCACAGAAGCUAUGAUCAUUUACAAACUCUUCUUUAAAUCGAGGAAUAGUUUUUAUAUUUGAAGUUGUAUAUUUAUAGAUGUCUUGAUGUACGAUGCAUUUUAUGAAAAUAAUAUUGCUCUCGAGGUAGUUUUGAAACUCCCAAUAAAUGUCCAGAUAUUUUCAUAUUGUAUUUUUAAGCUCGUAAUACUCUUAAUUUAGAUUCUUAAACAUUCCACAAAGUCCCGAAAACUAUCUGGUACUUUUGUUGUUCCCUUCACGAACACAUCCAUGUUUAACAUUUGUGCAACUGAAAAUGUUUCUUAUAAAUAAUAUCAAUAACACCGUAACAUUCACAUAGGUAGGCCUAUUUUCGUUUAUGGUAAUGGAGCAGAAUUUACAAUGACUAAUCUUUACAGAAAUUUACCGAAAUAGUCCUACAUAUCAAAUAAGAAAUAUGCCGUUAUAUUUUAUCUUUCUAAGUAUUUAACUAGUUGUUUUUUUAACAAAGUUUCCGUCAAAACGUGUUUUAUAACUUUUAAAUGUUUAACCAAUGCACAACACUUGAACUGGCAUAUGUAUCAACUGCAUGAGUUCUAUACAAUUUAACAAACGUUAUAUUUCUUUUCGAAGAAAUUCGAAUUUUUUGUUUUCUUCAUAGGUCAUGGAUAGAUAAGGAAUGGUAUUUUUGUUCAGUUAGAAGUGAAGUAUCGGGACAUUGGCGAAUCCAGGGGCGAGGCGGCAGUGGAGAUCAGCCCCCCACCCCUACCCUUUUGCCGACCCUCCACGAAAAAGGGGAGGGGGACAAAUUUUAGUAGAGAAAUAACACAAUUUAUAUACGAAUACUUUACUGAUGUUAACAAUAUAUACUCAUUAAACCUAUUUUUUGAUUAUAUCACCCCCACAAGUAUACUCAAGUAUUCUGGCCGAUUUGGUGUGUUGGGGGAUGAUUGUGUCAAUCCCCACCCCAAACCUUUAGCCUUCGAGGAGAGUUGGUUCAAUUUUUUUUUUUAGAAAUUACAGUUUGUUAAUAGAAUUAGUUUCAUAUCUGUAUCUACUGCCCUCCCCACCCAAACUUUCUGAGAGAGGGGGUGGUCCAAUUUUUAUGUAAAAAUCAUAGUUUGUAAAAAAAAAAAAAAACAUAAUUGAAUAUCUAUUUAAUAUAAUUUUUAUAUUAUGUCGCUCCCCUCUGGUGUCUCGGCCGAUGUGGUGAGGUGGUUGGGGGCGAUUGUAUCUACUGUUCUCCCCAUACUAACCCUAUGAGGGGGGGGCGCGGUCCUAUUUUAUGCAGAGAUUAUAUAUAUAUUAUACAUAUAUAUAACAAAAUUAUAUUAUAUAUAUUAUAUAUAUAACAAAAUUAGUUGAAUGCCUAUUCAAUUUAAGCUACUUUUUGAUAUUUCAACCUUUUGUAUAUAAUGUCGUACCACACUUUAAUCUCAUUAAAUCAUUCUGCUGUCCUUCUUCAGUCGUAGAACGACUAUGGUUCAUCUCGUACACUUUUUCAUGUGGCUGUGAGCCCUAUUUUGGAGAGGCACUAUCGUUCACAAAUAUUGCAGGUUAAGGUGGCUUUCGCUUCAGUGGUAGAGGAGAUGGCCAUCUUUCGCAUUGUACGUUUUUCUUCCAGACCUGUGGCCCAUGCUUUUUCGCUGUCCAUAGCUUUCUUGGUCACUGUUUCUCUCCAUCUGGUGCGGUUCAAAGCUAUGUCUUCCCAAUGGUCAGUAUUGAUUUUUACUUAUUAGAUUUCCCGUUCUAUUGCAUCUAUGUAACGGAGGUGGGGGCGACCAGUUUUUCUUGAGCCAGUCGCGAGUAUCCGUAGGGAUGCGAUUGUCCAUUUUGUCCACUGUAGUAAGCUUCUUGUUUUCCUAAACUCUUGACCUGAGUCUAGUGAAGGUCGAGGCAGCUUUGCCAAUGCGUUUUCUUAUCUCCUCUUCUAGAGACAGGUCAUCUUGAAUUGUGGAUCUAAGAUAGCGGAAUUAUUUACGGCAUUCAGCUUGUUAUCGUCUAUGUAAAUGAAGGGUGGUGCUGUAACAGGUGGUCCCAUAACAUUUGUUUUCUUCGUGUUAAACCAUAUUCUUUACAGGCCUGAGAGAAGCGUGUCAUUAAGUGACUGAAGCUCUUCUUGUGAGUGUGCCACUACCGCUGCAUUAUCCGCGAAUAGCAUAUCUUUUAUGAGGAUGGUUCUGAUUUUAGUUUUGGCCCUCAGUCUGGCAAUAUUUAGAAGUUUGCCAUCAAAACUGGAAUGGAGAUAGAUGCCUUCGGUGGAUUUGUCAAACGCUUUGUGGAUUAGCCGUGAAAAUAGUAUUUUAAAGAGGGUUGGGGCCAGGACACAUCCUUGUUUGAAUCCGCUGUUUAUACUGAAACUCUCGGAGCAUAUAUAAUUGUGCUAUAAAUUAUAUUCUUAUUUUGAGUCGCCCCCUCAUCUAUUCUUUAAUGUCAAAUGCAAUCAUUAGCAAUAGUUAUAAAAAGGAAAGUGGACUCUUACAAGAUUAAUGGAUUUUACUCUACCACACCUCCCUUUUUCUGACAAAAACAUGACAUUUUAAAACAGUAUAGUCUAAUAUGGCGACAGUAAUUAAUAAUUGGGCAUGAAUUUGUAAUUAUUAUUUAAAGAAAAACUGUUUUAAAGAAUGUAUGAUUCAUAAGAAAUCUUUAACUAUAAGAGAUGAGUUCUGAAAUAUUUUUUCAUAAUCGCUUUUCCCAACAAUUACUGAAGCAUAAAUAUUUCUAUUGUAUAAUUAAAUUUGGGACUAUAACUCACAAUUUAUAAUUGAAUCCUAAAAAUACACAAAUUUACAUUAGAAUUGAAUUUGUCUACUUAAUUUCUCCUCCCUCUUCUUAAUUGAUUUUUGUUAAGAGCUCUAAAUUAUAGUUCUUUAACUAAACGAAGUUACAAACAAAUGUAUUGAUCGAAAUAAAUCACCUAUAAAUGAGAUUUUUAAAAAUAUUAUUUUUCGUCAAAGCCUUAAUCUAUAUCUGUGGGACAACUUUUCAAGGAACAAAUCGGUUAUAUUUGCAUAGUUAGGGCCUAUUAAUCCAUAUCCGGUUAUGAAUGUAAUGCGCAUUUAUAAUGAUAUGUUUCAUUUUUAUUUAUAUUAACAUACCUUGUCUUUGUAAUAAAGGUUGUUUGGUGCAUAUUCAUA